AACGAACGCUGGCGGCAGGCCUAACACAUGCAAGUCGAGCGAGGACUUCGGUCCUAGCGGCGGACGGGUGAGUAACGCGUGGGAACGUGCCCCCUUUCUACGGAAUAGCCCCGGGAAACUGGGAGUAAUACCGUAUAAGCCCUACGGGGGAAAGAUUUAUCGGGAAGGGAUCGGCCCGCGUUGGAUUAGGUAGUUGGUGGGGUAAUGGCCUACCAAGCCGACGAUCCAUAGCUGGUUUGAGAGGAUGAUCAGCCACACUGGGACUGAGACACGGCCCAGACUCCUACGGGAGGCAGCAGUGGGGAAUCUUAGACAAUGGGCGCAAGCCUGAUCUAGCCGUGCCGCGUGAGCGAUGAAGGCCUUAGGGUUGUAAAGCUCUUUCAGGGGGGAAGAUAAUGACUGUACCCCCAGAAGAAGCCCCGGCUAACUCCGUGCCAGCAGCCGCGGUAAAGUAAUCGUACG
rnacentral:rRNA from 1 species